rnacentral:rRNA from 1 species
UACGUAGGGGGCAAGCGUUGUCCGGAAUCAUUGGGCGUAAAGAGCGCGUAGGCGGCCCUGUAAGUCCGCCGUCAAAUCCCAGGGCUCAACCCUGGACAGGCGGUGGAAACUGCCAAGCUGGAGUACGGUAGGGGCAGAGGGAAUUUCCGGUGGAGCGGUGAAAUGCGUAGAGAUCGGAAAGAACACCAACGGCGAAGGCGGGUUGCUGGGCCGACACUGACGCUGAUGCGCGAAGGCUAGGGGAGCGAACGGG